rnacentral:rRNA from 1 species
CCUACGGGUGGCUGCAGUGAGGAAUAUUGGUCAAUGGACGAGAGCCUGAACCAGCCAAGUAGCGUGAAGGAUGACUGCCCUAUGGGUUGUAACCUUCUUUUAUAUGGGAAUAAAACAGGCUAUGCCUACCCUCUUGUAUGUACCCUAUGACUAAGCAUCGGCCAACGUCGUGCCAGCAGCCGCGGUAAUACCGAGGAUUCGAGGGGUUAUCGGCUUUAUUGGGGUUAAAGGGAGCGGAGGUGGGUAGUUAAGGCCGUCGUGAAAGUUUGCGGGCCAAACGUAAAAUUGCAGUUGAAACUGGCAUUCUUGAGUGCAGUAGAGGUAGGCGGAAUUCGUGGUGUAGCGGUGAAAUGCGUAGAUAUCACGAAGAACUCCGAUUGCGAAGGCAGCUCACUGGACUGCAACUGACACUGAUGCACGAAAGUGUGGGGAUCAAACAGGAUUAGAUACCCCAGUAGUC